UAUAAGUCCAUUAUGUUCUCAAUUUUCUCAAUUUCCUUUGCUUAUUUCUUCUCUUUCUCUCUUUCUCUCACCAAGCCCUAAUGUUUGCACUGAAUUUCAAUUCCCAAACCUUCAGUCUUUUUCUCGCCAAUCCCGAAUGAAUGCUAAUCCGCAUCCGCCACCAUCACCACCACCAUAUGAAUGAAUGCUAAUUUCUAAACAUUCGGUCUUUCUCUCGCCAAUCUCUAUCCCUCUCCCUGUCUCUCUGUCUCUAUCAAGAGUUGAUGAUUUGAUCUGAUGAAUACGAUAUCCUCAAUAUCUUCCCCAAAGUUGAUCAUUCUAAGAUUUUUAGGAAUCCAAUGAAGUCAGCAGCGCCAUUACCACAGUCUUUUCCAGUCACCGCCCUCAGGUAAUAUUUCACAUAAUCUCUAUUUCACCUUCUUUCUUUCUCUUAUCUUCUUUUAUUGCAGUCACCAUCGCACACCACCCUCUUCUCUCUAAGAAACCGAAGACACCCCAAAUCUAAACCCUAGAAACCAUAGAAUAUCAGACCAUCUUCGUAGGGUAAAAUAUCAUAUAUGUUGUUUCAUGAUCUAAAAGAUGUGAACUUGAAAAUCUUUUAGGGGUUUUGAUUUGCAGGUUGUUUUUUGGGUUUUCCCUGAUGUCUGCCACCACCAUCCAAGUAGGAUUUUGUGCUAAGUUUUAUGCUUUGACUAAGGAUUUUGGGAUUCUGACUACAUGAUUUCUGGAAAUAAGUUUUCAUCCUCAAAGAAAAUAUUAAAAAAAAACCAGGUUUGAUCUUGGCAAAUUUAUUUUUCAUUUUUGUUGGUUUUCUGGGGAUUAUACAUGUAACUAUCAGUCUAUCAUUCACAUUGAUUAUUGAUACUCUUAUGUGUACAAGGAAAUUGCAUAUAAAGUGUUUGUAGAAAUGCUUGAGAGAGAGCAUAACAAUAGGCGAGUAUAAGCUCUACAAAAUCUUUCUUUAUGCUCUUUUUUUUUUUUACAAAAA